AUUGAACGCUGGCGGCAGGCCUAACACAUGCAAGUCGAACGAGUGGCGGAGGGGUGAGUAAUGUCUGGGAAACUGCCCGAUGGGGGGGGAUAACUACUGGAAACGGUAGCUAAUACCGCAUACCAUCGGGUGUGCCCAUAUGGGAUUAGCUAGUAGGUGGGGUAACGGCUCACCUAGGCGACGAUCCCUAGCUGGUCUGAGAGGAUGAUCAGCCACACUGGGACUGAGACACGGCCCAGACUCCUACGGGAGGCAGCAGUGGGGAAUAUUGCACAAUGGGCGCAAGCCUGAUGCAGCCAUGCCGCGUGUAUGAAGAAGGCCUUCGGGUUGUAAAGUACUUUCAGCGGGGAGGCGUUACCCACAGAAGAAGCACCGGCUAACUCCGUGCCAGCAGCCGCGGUAAUUC
rnacentral:rRNA from 1 species